rnacentral:lncRNA from 1 species
UCACACAUACCUUUAACCUUUAUGCUUGGAAGGGAAACACAAUCUUGAAAGCUUUCUUGAAAGUUUUUGAUUUGGGAAGCUUGAGUUCUUGGUUUUCUUAAAGAGAAGAAAAAUAAAUAUUGAGCUUCUUGGGAGAUAGUUAGGGUUUCUUUGAGAGAAAAUUGAAGGAGAAUGGAUAAAUUAGGCUCAAAUUGCUGAUAUAAGUCGUGUUAUGAUGACUUGGAUC